GACGAACGCUGGCGACGUGCUUAACACAUGCAAGUCGAACGGAAAGGCCCUGCUUUUGUGGGGUGCUCGAGUGGCGAACGGGUGAGUAACACGUGAGUAACCUGCCCUUGACUUUGGGAUAACUUCAGGAAACUGGGGCUAAUACCGGAUAGGAGCUCCUGCUGCAUGGUGGGGGUUGGAAAGUUCCGGCGGUUGGGGAUGGACUCGCGGCUUAUCAGCUUGUUGGUGGGGUAGUGGCUUACCAAGGCUUUGACGGGUAGCCGGCCUGAGAGGGUGACCGGCCACAUUGGGACUGAGAUACGGCCCAGACUCCUACGGGAGGCAGCAGUGGGGAAUAUUGCACAAUGGGCGGAAGCCUGAUGCAGCAACGCCGCGUGCGGGAUGACGGCCUUCGGGUUGUAAACCGCUUUCGCCUGUGACGAAGCGUGAGUGACGGUAAUGGGUAAAGAAGCACCGGCUAACUACGUG
rnacentral:rRNA from 1 species